rnacentral:rRNA from 1 species
AGUGAACGCUGGCGGUAGGCCUAACACAUGCAAGUCGAACGGCAGCACAGUAAGAGCUUGCUCUUACGGGUGGCGAGUGGCGGACGGGUGAGGAAUACAUCGGAAUCUACUUUUUCGUGGGGGAUAACGUAGGGAAACUUACGCUAAUACCGCAUACGACCUACGGGUGAAAGCAGGGGAUCUUCGGACCUUGCGCGAUUGAAUGAGCCGAUGUCGGAUUAGCUAGUUGGCGGGGUAAAGGCCCACCAAGGCGACGAUCCGUAGCUGGUCGGGGAGGAUGAUCAGCCACACUGGAACGUAGACACGGUCCAGACUCCUACGGGAGGCAGCAGUGUGGAAUAUUGGACAAUGGGCGCAAGCCUUAUCCAGCCAUCCCGCGUGGGUGAAGAAGGCCUUCGGGUUGUAAAGCCCUUUUGUUGGGAAAGAAAAGCAGCAGGUUAAUACCCCGCUGUUCUGACGGUACCCAAAGAAUAAGCACCGGCUAACUUCGUG